CCUACGGGAGGCAGCAGUAGGGAAUAUUGCUCAAUGGGGGAAACCCUGAAGCAGCGACGCCGCGUGGAGGAUGAAGGUUUUCGGCUUGUAAACUCCUUUUGUUAGAGAAGAUAAUGACGGUAUCCACCGUAUAAGCACCGGCUAACCCCGUGCCAGCAGCCGCGGUAAUACGGAGGGUGCAAGCGUUACUCGGAAUCACUGGGCGUAAAGAGCGCGUAGGCGGGAUAGCAAGUCAGAUGUGAAAUCCUAGGGCUCAACCAUAGAACUGCAUUUGAAACGGUGAUUCUAGAGUAUGGGAGGGGUAGGCGGAAUUCUUGGUGUAGGGGUAAAAUGCGUAGAGAUCAAGAGGAAUACUCAUGGCGAAGGCGACCUGCUAGAACAUAACUGACGUUGAUGCGCGAAAGCGUGGGGAGCAAACAGGAUUAGAUACCCUAGUAGUC
rnacentral:rRNA from 1 species